GAAAGGGAAGGGACCCUUCGGGGAGCUAGCACAGGUGCUGCAUGGCUGUCGUCAGCUCGUGCCGUGAGGUGUUGGGCUAAGUCCCGCAACGAGCGCAACCCCUGUUGCCAGUUGUAUUCUCUGGCGAGACUGCCCCGUAAAGCGGGGAGGAAGGCGGGGAUGACGUCAAGUCGGCACGGCCCUUACGUCUUGGGCCACUCGCACGCUACAAUGGUCGGUACAAAAGGUUGCCAAGGAGCGAUCCGGAGCUAAUCCCCAAAGCCGGCCUCAGUUCAGAUUGCAGGCUGAAACCCGCCUGCAUGAAGGCGGAGUUGCUA
rnacentral:rRNA from 1 species